rnacentral:lncRNA from 1 species
AGGAAGUCCAGAUAUAUGAAUUUUGAUGAGCUCUAUCUUUACUGCUACUACGUUGCCGGGACAGUUGGACUAAUGAGUGUUCCGGUAAUGGGGAUUGCACCUGAAUCAAAAGCAUCGGUGGAGAGUGUCUAUAAUGCCGCAUUAGCCCUCGGAAUUGCUAAUCAACUUACUAAUAUACUUAGAGAUGUUGGUGAAGAGUAAGUCCAAUGGUCGCUGAACUUUUUAUAAUUUUCACUUUCUGAUGAACUCCUUUUAGUGUUUUCUCAUAGUUUGUAUAUUUCCCUAGUGCUAGGAGAGGAAGAAUAUAUCUACCCCAAGAUGAACUGGCACAGUUCGGACUGUCGGACGAUGACAUAUUUCGUGGACAAGUAAC